rnacentral:lncRNA from 1 species
UCUGCAGUUGGGCUAGCCAAGGGGGUAUAUUAGGUUUAUUUUAAAAUACAUUAUAAUUUUGUUUGUUUUUUCAUUCAGAUGAAAGUGUGUGUGUUUCUGCUGCUUCUUUGUCCUCACUGUAAACAGAUGUACUGAGAGACUCCUGCACUGAUGUUUCAUAGGAAAGUCCAAACAGCCUCACUGGUUCUACAUAAAGAACAAAGAUUUGCUCUCUGUGGCUCCAACACAACUUAAAGACAAUCAAAGAGUCAGAUCAGCAGAAACAGAGAACAUGGACAUGUCUGCUGUAACUGCAUCACUCUGCUCCACUUUGCUGAUGUUCGAUGGAGUCUUCAUGUUUGUCUCUGCAGGUGAGAUUUAACUGUUAGAAAACAAACUGAGUGUCACUCUGGUUAAAUUAUUAAUAAUAUUUCUCAAAGAAUUAUUUUCAUAUUGAUUCAGUUUGUCUGUGUGUGUGAAGGAGACACGAGGCUGGGUGGGUCUGUGUGGACGUCCGUGUCUGUGAUGCAGCUGUGACAGAGACACAGAAAUCUAAUGUGUGUUUUAUUUUCUUUCAGAUUUUCCACCCUGAUGACCACAGAGGCCUUUGAGGGUCCCAGACGUCCUUCAGAACAACAGUAAGUUUUUCUUUCUGUUUCUAAAACUCACUUUCACUCUUUUAAGCUAAAUGCAGCGUACCAAAUGCCACAAUGACAAAACUUCCUUUAAACAAACGUUACUGAUACAGUGGCUUUUUUUAAACCUAAAUUUUAAUCUCAUGUAGUCAGGUUUAAACUCAGGUUCAGUUAUUCACUGAAAAUAUCGACAUCAUAUCGAUAUCAACUUAAUGUUGUUCCUCCAGGUGAGUGAGUAGAGUUGAGUGUGUGUGUGAUCAGAGGUGAAGCUGCUUCCUGGUUGUUGAUGUUUGUUUCUAAAGAUGUUGUUGAUGAGACUUUGUAGAAAGCAGCUGCUCUGAGUGAUUGGCAGGAAUUAUGUUUAAGGAAAUAAUAAUAGUAACAGCGAUGUCAGUAAUAUUCAGGCAGGCAUGCCUGCUGUUAGGUGCUGUUAACUUGUGAUAUUUGAGGCUGGUGACUCAGAUGAAUUUAACCUCAGCUGCAAAAAAUAAAAAGAUAGUUACGGAUCAGGA